rnacentral:rRNA from 1 species
AACCUGGGAACUGCAUUCGAAACUGGCAGGCUAGAGUCUUGUAGAGGGGGGUAGAAUUCCAGGUGUAGCGGUGAAAUGCGUAGAGAUCUGGAGGAAUACCGGUGGCGAAGGCGGCCCCCUGGACAAAGACUGACGCUCAGGUGCGAAAGCGUGGGGAGCAAACAGGAUUAGAUACCCUGGUAGUCCACGCCGUAAACGAUGUCGAUUUGGAGGUUGUGCCCUUGAGGCGUGGCUUCCGGAGCUAACGCGUUAAAUCGACCGCCUGGGGAGUACGGCCGCAAGGUUAAAACUCAAAUGAAUUGACGGGGGCCCGCACAAGCGGUGGAGCAUGUGGUUUAAUUCGAUGCAACGCGAAGAACCUUACCUGGUCUUGACAUCCACAGAACUUUCCAGAGAUGGAUUGGUGCCUUCGGGAACUG